CAGCUAGUUGGCAGGGUAAAAGCCUACCAAGGCAUAGAUCGGUAGCCGGCCUGAGAGGGCACACGGCCACACUGGCACUGAAACACGGGCCAGACUCCUACGGGAGGCAGCAGUGGGGAAUCUUGCACAAUGGGGGCAACCCUGAUGCAGCGACGCCGCGUGAGCGAUGAAGCCCUUCGGGGUGUAAAGCUCUUUCGUCAGGGACGAUAAUGACGGUACCUGGAGAAGCAGCUGCGGCUAACUACGUGCCAGCAGCCGCGGUAAUACGUAGGCAGCGAGCGUUGUUCGGAGUUACUGGGCGUAAAGGGUGUGUAGGCGGUUUUCUAAGUUUGGUGUGAAAUCUCCCGGCUCAACCGGGAGGGUGCGCCGAAAACUGGGAGACUAGAGUGCGGGAUGGGAGAGUAGAAUUCCUGGUGUAGCGGUGAAAUGCGUAGAUAUCAGGAGGAACACCGGUGGUGUAGACGGCUCUCUGGACCGCCACUGACGCUGAGACACGAAAGCGUGGGUAGCAAACAGGAUUAGAUACCCUGGUAGUCCACGCCCUAAACGAUGCAUAUUUGGUGUAGGUCAUUCAGUUGAUCUGUGCCGGAGCUAACGCGUUAAAUAUGC
rnacentral:rRNA from 1 species